rnacentral:misc_RNA from 1 species
CAUUGUGAGCAAAUGCUAGAAUGCUUAGUUUUAUGGAAAAAGAGAACUUCUAAAUAGUACAUUUACGAUUCAUUCUAGUCUGUUCGCAUUAGAAGCAACAUUAAAGCAGAACUUGAGAUACUAAAAUCUUUCGUCAAGUACAUAGUAAAGGAAUGUCCUGUGUAACUCAACUCAACAAGCAGUGUAAACCAACCAAAUGAAAAACAUUCUGCAACUCUUGUAUUAGAAAAUCAACAAUUAAACAUUUUGCAUGAUUGAUAACCAGCUAUUAGUAAACGUAGGUUCUCAUAGAUAAUAAUAAACAUCAACUACAAAAAUAUAACAAACAUCAACCAGCACGACGAGUUCUUGAACGUAGUUUUCGCUGAAACAUCGAUGACGGGCGUCGUAAACUUGGCGAAUAGUCUUACUAUCGGCAACUACUCCGCUACCCGCUAGACCCACUGCAGCACAGAGCAGAACGCCGCCGCCACCAUUCCAUUCAUCGCGGCGAAUGCUUUGCCAUGUUAGAUAGUGGCACCUAUUUCUGUUGCGCUGUCUAUCUUCUCUCGUUCUUCCAGAUUGUUUUUCUCGCCGCUUCUCAUUCUUCACUUGUCUGGUUGAG